rnacentral:rRNA from 1 species
UACGUGGGGUGCAAGCGUUGUUCGGAAUUACUGGGCGUAAAGCGCGUGUAGGCGGCCUGUUAAGUCUGACGUGAAAUCCCUGGGCUCAACCCAGGAACUGCAUCGGAAACUGACAGGCUAGAGUCCGGGAGAGGGUAGCGGAAUUCCUGGUGUAGAGGUGAAAUUCGUAGAUAUCAGGAGGAACACCGGUGGCGAAGGCGGCUACCUGGACCGGUACUGACGCUGAGACGCGAAAGCGUGGGGAGCAAACAGGAUUAGAUACCCUGGUAGUCCACGCUGUAAACGAUGAGCGCUAGUUGUCACGGGUAUUGACCCCUGUGGUGACGCAGGUAACCCAUUAAGCGCUCCGCCUGGGGAGUACGGCCGCAAGACUAAA